UAGAGACCAUUAACCAUGUCUAACUUGUGAC
rnacentral:piRNA from 1 species